UAAGGAAUCUUCCACGAUGGGCGCAAGCCUGAUGGAGCAACACCGCGUGAGUGAAGAAGGGUUUCGGCUCGUAAAGCUCUGUUGUUAAAGAAGAACACGUAUGAGAGUAACUGUUCAUACGUUGACGGUAUUUAACCAGAAAGUCACGGCUAACUACGUGCCNG
rnacentral:rRNA from 1 species